CUACUUACCUGGCAGGGUUGAUACCAUCAUCACCAAGGUGGUUUUCCAAGGACAAGCCUUCAUCCUUGUAGCCUAGAUGUGUUAACCCUUAUGAUUUCCCCAAAGGUGCCAAAUGUGGGAAACUGACUGCGUAAUUCAUGUUAGUGAAGAACUGAAUUCACAUUUUCC